UACAGAGGGUGCGAGCGUUAAUCGGAAUUACUGGGCGUAAAGCGCACGUAGUCGGCUUUGCAAGUCGGGUGUGAAAUCCCCGGGCUCAACCUGGGAACUGCAUCCGAGACUGCAUUGCUAGAGUAUGGGAGAGGGAAGCGGAAUUUCUGGUGUAGCAGUGAAAUGCGUAGAUAUCAGAAGGAACAUCAGUUGGCGAAGGCGGCUUCCUGGACCAAUACUGACGAGUCAAGGUGCGAAAGCCGUGGGGAGCAAACAGG
rnacentral:rRNA from 1 species